ensembl:lncRNA
GGACUACUGAGUCAUUUCAUUGGCGCCCCCGCGCACGGUCUGGAGCAGGACGGCAGUGCGUGAUCAACGAGUGGUGACCAAUCAGAGUACGCGAGGGUGCACGUGCACAGGCCGAUUAUUGGCUGGGGCAAGGCACGGUCCUGGGGCCCUGACCAAUAGAGAGGCGUUGCGCCCAUGUGGACAGCUAGUGGGAAACAAUAUUUGUUAGGGAGGGGGCGGAAACAGGAAUCUCCGGCUUGCGGCGUGUCAGCCGUUCCCAUGGUUACACGUGGAGGCGGGGUUUCUAGUAGCCUGGGCUUAAGGGGAUUCGUACUGGAACGUGAGGUGGUGCCUGUAAAGGCUUUGUGGUUCUGAUUAGGAUACUGAGUCACUUGUCUCCAACCGGCAAACACGUUAGCCAGGUUAACACCACUGGUGACUAGUUAUAUUGACAGAAGGUACCCUUGAUGUGAGAGCAUGAAAAGGACACUUCGCUUCUUUAAUGUUCUUUGCUAAAGCCCAUAACUCCAGUCUAAACAUGAGCAAAACAUCCAGCAAACCCAAUCUGAAGGACAUUCUACAAAGCACCUGAUGAGUGUGCCUCGACACUCAAGGCCAACAAAGCAAGAGAAGACCCAGAAACCCCCAGAGAACCAUGGAGACGUGAUGACAAUGAAAUGUGGUGUCCUAGAGUGGCGCCCACAGCAGUAAAGGACAAUCAGAGGUGUGUAAACUUUUCCUGGAAAAGGCCAAAUGCUUCCCCCACAGGAAUCUCCUGAACAAACUAUGUGAAUAAGAUGGCAUCUACAAGAAGAUCACCAGGAGUGGACAAGCCUGCACAUGAUGGGGAUUACGACAACCCUGACCCCCAUCUCAGUGAUUAACUGAGAUUCUUUCCUUGUUUCCCUUUAAAAAAUUUCAAGGCCAGGCAGAAUCUUUGCAGGCUGUUUCUGAGGGACGCUGAGUCUGCCGUCUCCCCAGAUUGCUGGCAUUCUGAUUAAAGACACCUUUCCUUUCUACCAUUUGUAUUGAUUUUGUAAGUGACUAGCAUUGAGACCCCCUAUUCAAUAACAAUAAUUUAAACUUACAACAUCUAUAAUUAUGCAUAAGUUAUCUAUAAUGUUUCUUUUGCAUUCCUAAUUUCGCUAAUUCAUGAUCUCUCUGUUUUUCCUUGAUUAGUCUUGCUGGAGAUUUAUAAAUAGUACUCAUCUUUUUAAGAAACUUGAUUUCAGUUUUGU